ACCGCAGUUCAGGAAGAAUCAAAGCUUGUUGUGAUGACAUUCCUACGGGUCGCUUUCGUUUGUCUUCUGGCAGUAGGCUUUGCCUUGGCAUGCAGUUUCAGAAUGGGAACAUUAACUAACGUUGGCAGUCAGAUGUACGUUCUUAGGGCUCGAAAAGGACCAGUUUCUGAACCGGUCAACAUGUCAUUAGUUUUCGACUAUGCUGCCGAUCCAAGCACUUACGAGGAAAUUACUUACGCUACUUUCCAAAUGUCGGAACAGUCUUGUUCCUGGACCGUUCCGGAUGGUGACUUUAGCAAAGGGUUCCGGAUUACUGUGUCUACUACAAGUCCUGUUCUAGAAUACACAGGAACAGCGACUGUCUAUGGUCGGUACAGGCCUGUAGGAAGUGUUUAAAUAAAUGAAAUAAAUUUUCUAAUUUCGUUCCAUA